CCUACGGGUGGCAGCAGUGGGGAAUAUUGGGCAAUGGGCGCAAGCCUGACCCAGCAACGCCGCGUGAAGGAAGAAGGCUCUCGGGUUGUAAACUUCUUUUCUCAGGGACGAAGCAAGUGACGGUACCUGAGGAAUAAGCCACGGCUAACUACGUGCCAGCAGCCGCGGUAAUACGUAGGUGGCAAGCGUUAUCCGGAGUUACUGGGUGUAAAGGGCGUGUAGGCGGGACUACAAGUCAGAUGUGAAAACCACGGGCUCAACCUGUGGCCUGCAUUUGAAACUGUAGUUCUUGAGUGCUGGAGAGGCAGACGGAAUUCAUGGUGUAGCGGUGAAAUGCGUAGAUAUUAGGAGGAACACCAGUGGCGAAGGCGGUCUGCUGGACAGCAACUGACGCUGAGGCGCGAAAGCGUGGGGAGCAAACAGGAUUAGAUACCCGAGUAGUC
rnacentral:rRNA from 1 species